rnacentral:lncRNA from 1 species
CAUUCCAUUGGCCAGUUAGGAGAUCUAUUAUUUCGUCGUUUAUUUGCGCCCCCUUGUGGCGGGAUUUUCCAAAGACAAUUUUCCUUUGCCAAAUAACUCCCGCCCACAUUAAUAAUUCUUGGCCAUAUUUUUUAUAUAGACUCGGGUUUGCCCCUUGAUGGUUUCCUUAUAGUUUGAAGAACAUUCCUUGGGCCAAUUAGAACAUAUACAAUUUCCUCGUUUAUUGCGCCCCCUAAUGGCGAAAAAAUCCGGAAUUUUUAUCGAACGACAGAUAGGUUAGCACCAAAAUGUGUGUAACAUUUGGACUCGUUCCGAUGUCUAAUUUUGGAUUUCUUUGGAUUUUUGAUUUUCCACGUCUAAUUUAGCUCAUAAACCAAUGUAGCCCUGUACAAAAACCACAAGUUACAGAGCAUAAAAAAUAAUUAACAGUAUAAUAAAAUGCUGUGUUUAAUGUUCAUAAAUAAAUAGAGUUCAUAAUAAUAAAAUGGGUUAAAAUGUGUGCGGAUUAAAAGCAUAAAUAUAAUACGUUUAAUAAAACUAUUUACAGUUAAAAGAUAAAUUAAUAUAAAGGUCUUUAAGUUUAUCAAGGCUAAAAUAUUUGUGAAUUCAGGAUAUAAAAGAGGAAGAAGCCGUGUUUAUGUUUAACUUAACCAUUGACCUGUCACACGUAAAUCAUUUAAUUUGUUUUGUCUUUGGUUGUAUUAAAACUUCACAAGCCAAUCCGAAUAAAGUCUCAACGUGUAAAGGGCGGGACUAGUGCAGCAGGUUAGCGUGGGGAGUAGUGAGCACAUGUAGAGAAAGAAACCUGACCGGACUGAGAGCUAAGAGGAGGCAUCGUAGUGUGGGAAGCAGUUAAGUUUUAUCGUGAGGUCGACUACUCGUGGUCCUGAUUUAAACUUCUUUGUGACCUGCAAAAAGGUGAAUACGAUGUGUAUGCCUCCAUUGUGCUAUAUCUAACUGUUAUAGAGCUGGACGUUGGAGAGAGGGGUUUCCAGCAGAUGGCCCUGCUGUUUUCUGUGUUUUCUUUCCUUGUGACUUCGCCACCGCCAUUGCCCACGUGUGUGUUUGGAUUGCCACCGCCAUUGCCAUUAUCUUCGUGAGAAUAUCAUCCCCCAAUCCCUUUCUGCCCCUACUAAUUACACCCUGGAUUCGUGAGUACUGAUUUACACAUUGCACGUGCUUUUAUUUUGAGCUCAAGCUGAGUGAAGCGGCCAGUACAGUUUUUAGGCCCCACCGCACACAAGCUUCAACUAACAGGCCUGCAACGGGUUAACCUAAUUUAAAGUGUGUUGUUAAUUUGAUUGUGUGUGGUACAUUGAGUUUGCAUUGUUGUAAAUUGGAGAAUCCCGUGCAUCUGAUUUUAUUUAUUUUAUUUGUUUAUUUGUUUUCUUUUCCUAAAAUACAUUCGACUAGUAUUUCAUUUUGUGAAUAAAUAUGUGAUUGAAUACUUUUACAUUUAAAAUACAGUUGUGGUGGUCAUUUAUUAAAAUUAUCCAACAGUAACAUAUGAAUCAAAGUUGUAGUUUCCUACAACGAGCCCAGGCCCAGUCUUAUUGUAUUAACCACUCUAGAUUUAUUAUUUAACUACAUGGGACAAGGGUUACAUAAAUGGAGGCCCCGCUGGGAUAAUAUUAAACUAAAAUGAAUUAGACAAGCAAAAGUAACAUGACCCCACAACUUUAAGAGCAUUUAUUUAAAGUAAUGUGCUAACAGUAACUAGAAGU